UUAAGAUGGUGGUACUCACCUGUAGUCCCAGCUACUCUGGAUAAUGAGGCCAGAUCACUUAGGCUCAGGAGUUCUGGGCUGUAGUGUGCUAUCCUGAUCAGGUGUCUGUACUAAGUUCAGCAUCAACCCAGUGAGUUCCAAGAGCAGGGGACUGGGACCACCAGGUUGUCUGAGGAAGGGUGAGCUCAUCUAGGUAUGAAAUGGAGCAAGUAAAAACGCCUGUGAGUAGUGACACUGAAACUGUGAAUAGGCACUGCACUCCAGCCUGGGAAAUAUAGCAAGAUUCCAUCUCU
rnacentral:SRP_RNA from 1 species